UGGAAGUAAAAGUCGUAACAAGGUUUCCGUAGGUGAACCUGCGGAAGGAUCAUUACAGAGUUCAUGCCCGAAAGGGUAGACCUCCCACCCUUGUGUAUUAUUACUUUGUUGCUUUGGCGAGCUGCCUUCGGGCCUUGUAUGCUCGCCAGAGAAUACCAAAACUCUUUUUAUUAAUGUCGUCUGAGUACUAUAUAAUAGUUAAAACUUUCAACAACGGAUCUCUUGGUUCUGGCAUCGAUGAAGAACGCAGCGAAAUGCGAUAAGUAAUGUGAAUUGCAGAAUUCAGUGAAUCAUCGAAUCUUUGAACGCACAUUGCGCCCCUUGGUAUUCCGGGGGGCAUGCCUGUUCGAGCGUCAUUUCAACCCUCAAGCUUAGCUUGGUAUUGAGUCUAUGUCAGUAAUGGCAGGCUCUAAAAUCAGUGGCGGCGCCGCUGGGUCCUGAACGUAGUAAUAUCUCUCGUUACAGGUUCUCGGUGUGCUUCUGCCAAAACCCAAAUUUUUCUAUGGUUGACCUCGGAUCAGGUAGGGAUACCCGCUGAACUUAAGCAUAUCAAUAAGCGGAGGAA
rnacentral:misc_RNA from 1 species